CUAGUGAGCUGUCUUACCAACAUGGAGAGAAACGUCACGCAGAAGCAUGGAAAUCUCUGCCCGAUACUCCUCACUCGCUUUCGACAGUGUGGUGGCAUCUUGGACAAAUGUAACAGCGGAUCACACUGCAGGCAGGUGUGGGCAAAGGGAAGGCAGCAAUGCAAAAGGCAGAGCCAGACGAGUACAGUUGGAGCCAUUACAACAAAGAUCAGCAACCAACAGCGAUAAUGCCAGAACUCUGCAUGCGUCUUAGAAUUUAUAUAACGCUACUGACUACGUCACUGUACACUUUUUGUCGUAGGCAUCUCCAUGGAAACCGAACUCAGGGAGACAGAUUGACGUGCGGGAGUUCUAGAAUUUCUAGGCGCUUUGUUUACAUUUCUGAACAUCCGAUGUUUCCGAGAAAGAUAAUGAAAUUUCAGAAAGUCGGUGAAAAUAAUAUAUGUGAUUAAAACGAUUAUUAAAUAA